rnacentral:rRNA from 1 species
UACGAAGGGGGCUAGCGUUGUUCGGAAUUACUGGGCGUAAAGCGCACGUAGGCGGAUAUUUAAGUCAGGGGUGAAAUCCCAGAGCUCAACUCUGGAACUGCCUUUGACACUGGGUAUCUCGAGUAUGGAAGAGGUGAGUGGAAUUCCGAGUGUAGAGGUGAAAUUCGUAGAUAUUCGGAGGAACACCAGUGGCGAAGGCGGCUCACUGGUCCAUUACUGACGCUGAGGUGCGAAAGCGUGGGGAGCAAACAGG